AAAUUGAAGAGUUUGAUCAUGGCUCAGAUUGAACGCUGGCGGCAGGCCUAACACAUGCAAGUCGAACGGUAACAGGAAGAAGCUUGCUUCUUUGCUGACGAGUGGCGGACGGGUGAGUAAUGUCUGGGAAACUGCCUGAUGGAGGGGGAUAACUACUGGAAACGGUAGCUAAUACCGCAUAACGUCGCAAGACCAAAGAGGGGGCCCUUCGGGCCUCUUGCCAUCGGAUGUGCCCAGAUGGGAUUAGCUAGUAGGUGGGGUAACGGCU
rnacentral:rRNA from 1 species